rnacentral:misc_RNA from 1 species
GAUGAAGAACGCAGCGAAAUGCGAUAAGUAAUGUGAAUUGCAGAAUUCAGUGAAUCAUCAAUCUUUGAACGCACAUUGCGCCCCUUGGUAUUCCGGGGGGCAUGCCUGUUCGAGCGUCAUUAUCACCCCUCAAGCUCAGCUUGGUGUUGGGGCCUGCCGUCAAGGCAGCCCUUAAAAUCAGUGGCGGCGCCAUCUGGCUCUAAGCGUAGUAAUACUUCUCGCUCUGGAGACCCGGUUGUGUGCUUGCCAACAACCCCCAAUUUUUUAAGGUUGACCUCGGAUCAGGUAGGGAUACCCGCUGAACUUAAGCAUAUCAAUAAGCGGAGGA